CCUCCCUUCACCUGCUGACCACGCUUCUUUUGAUGCAGCCCAGGAUAUGGACUUCCAACAGACUGCAAGCUUGGGCUUUACAGGCCAGCGGUGGAGCCAACAGGAAGGCCUCUGGAUUUUCAAAAAGGACCAAGAAGUCUGAUAAUCAGGUGCUUUGUUUGAUGUUUUUACUGGCUGUCUUACUUAAGGAUUCUGUCAGUCCACAGGCACGUUUGGUUGGUUUGGCUGGAGCUUUGGAGCUUGGUGCUUAUGACUUCAGUUCUUUAUGACACAGAGCCGUGCCACGUGCUGCCUAGACCAAAUACACGUAUUAUUGGGGGAGAUUACUCUGUGCAUUGUACUUUUUAAAAUGCUUUUAAAGUGUGAGGAUGGUAUCUGCCUUCAAACAGGUAACGUCUAAAAGACAUUUUUCUUUUUUCUU
rnacentral:lncRNA from 1 species